UGAGGAAUAUUGGACAAUGGGCGCAAGCCUGAUCCAGCCAUGCCGCGUGCAGGAAGAAGCAUCUAUGGUGUGUAAACUGCUUUUGUACGGGAAGAAACACUCCUACGUGUAGGCGCUUGACGGUACCGUAAGAAUAAGGAUCGGCUAACUCCGUGCCAGCAGCCGCGGUAAUACGGAGGAUGCAAGCGUUAUCCGGAUUCAUUGGGUUUAAAGGGUGCGUAGGCGGCUUUUUAAGUCAGUGGUGAAAUCCUGUCGCUCAACGAUAGAAUUGCCAUUGAUACUGAGAAGCUUGAGUUCAGUUGAGGUAAGCGGAAUAUGUAGUGUAGCGGUGAAAUGCUUAGAUAUUACAUGGAAUACCAAUUGCGAAGGCAGGUUACUACUUGUGGAUUGACGCUGAUGGACGAAAGCGUGGGGAGCGAACA
rnacentral:rRNA from 1 species